UUGUGUUUUGUUGUUUUUUUUUUUUUGACUUAUUAGAAAAGAAUGCUGACCCUUAGCAAAUAGAAGACUAACCCUUAGCAACAAUAGUUGCUUUCUUCGUGUUUCACUGCUGAUGCAAACUGAGUGAUGUUUUUCUUGAAAAGUUUUUUCUAUCGAUGUCAUUAUAGGCAUGCUUGGAUAUAGAAAUCGAAGAAAGAAAUUCAAGAAGAUAGAAAGGAAAAACCAAAGAGAAGGUUAUCCUCUUCGGUGUCCGUUAUGCUAGAGGGAUGUUUCCUGCGGUAUAUGAUAUUCCAACUCGAUGUGUAACGGCAGGCAUGCGGUUACAUAUCAAGUUUCUUUUGUGGUGUGCUGUGUAUAUAUCCUGCAAGAGAUAUCACUUAGGUAAGAUUGUCUAAGUGCCUAAGCAUGCUCUUAUCUUUCAUUUUGGAACUAAAACACUUGCUAGAAUCAAAAAGAUCAAAGACUUAGUUUGGAUAUUACUAAAGAACUGGACUGAAUUAUGUAAGAAUUGGGUCCCUUCGUCCAUCUAGCUUAUAUUUUCUUAAGAGCCUAUCCAAACUCAACUCAGAUCUUACCUAUUUGGCUAUAGAGGGAAAAAAAAAUGGAAGUCGAUUUGAGCUGAAUGGUGUUUGGUUGAUACAGAACUAUGCUCAAAUGGAUGGCCCAAUCUAUAAAUCCGAUAGAAUUUUCAGCCUAGAAAUAUCAGCUCAAAUUGUAAAAGGUAAGGAAUAUCUUUUCUUCCGAGAACCAAAAAAUAGAGAAUUUUCUGUGAUCUCAAUGUCUAUCUGCCAUGAUAAUCUUUCCUAAAAACUCCUCCUGUUUUUUUCUCAUGAAAUUAUUAAAAAAAAACAAGCAAGAAAGAAGAAAUAUGAGGAAAAGAAAUCCUUGUUGAAAAUUUUGCUAAAAUUCUAUAUUAAGAAUAAUCUAUAUAUUUUAGAAAAUGAAUCAGCUGUCCCACUAAGGUAAUGGCUUCUUUCACAUGAUCAAGCAAUGAGAGGAAAUGAUUACAUUACAACAAAACUGGAGGUUUAAAUAACAAGAAAGUGACUGCACCUGUUCAAUUUGGAAACAUGGAUGGAAAAAAAUUUCAUUUGGAUUAAAGAACAAUUGUACAUUGAAACAGUAUAAGGGUACCAACUGAUACGUACCACCAAGAUGUAUGCUGCUUUAUUUUUUGGGAAAAAAAAGAAGAAAGAAGACAAAAAAAUCACGGCAGUAAAUGGUGCAACCAAUCCAACCGCUUCAUCAAUCUGCCAAAUCAUGGUCCCGAUUCCAUUUUGGGUUGGGCGCGCUUACAGAGUGGGUGUAUAGCUUUUUGGAGCUAAAUGACUGAGAGAUCAAGCUCCGAGCCCUAGCCCUCUUGAUCUCAUGCGCGCAGUAGAACUGCCCGUCGUCGUCUUGCCCCUCCUCUGACCACCCCACCUCGACACCGGCGACCUAGACCUAGAGGUCGAUGUCGGUGAGGGCGAGGUUGCAGAGAACAGUGCCAACGAGGCAGGAGCGGCUCAAUACAUUUGGGGGCCUAAGACGAAUUCAUUAAGAAGGAUCUUUUUUUUCUUUCCUUUUUGUCUUUAAAGUCUUUUCUAUAGUGGACCGGCCUAAGAUGAACUCGCUAAAAGUGUCUUGUUUUUUUUUUCUGUUUUGUCUUUGAGGCUUUCUUUGCGGUGGGCCUUCUUUGGGCCGGAGCCUAAGGGGACCGUAUAGGAGACCUUUCCUCUUCUUUGUAUACUUUACUUUCUCAUUUGGCUGGAUGUACUUAAGUUAGAGCUAUAUAAAAUGCCGCAUUUACCAUAUUUUAAAAAAAAAAAAUAGCAAGGAUGCGGAACCCGAGGAAGAAGGUAAGGUACUGUUCGACGUACCUCUUCUUGGGGUUGUGGUGCAAGAUUUUUUAAUAAAAGAAUGCGGGUUGCCAUUGAUGGCAUAUUUCGUAUUAUUUACAAAAAACAGGUUGAAAGUGAUUAAAAUCUGUUAGCCGCUAGGGUUUCUACUGGUGUGACUUUUUGGAGAGAAGCGGCCUCUGGCUAUCCUCGGACUAAAUGAUAUGGGCUUAUUGGAGGAUUAAAAAGUACAUAUUUAUAUUCAUUAUCUUUAAAUCAAUAAAUAAUAUAUUUGUGGUGUACCGUGUACGUUUUAAUUGCCAGUAUGAUGAUCCAAUAUAUUUUUUUUUUGAUGUAAAGGGAGGGUAUGAAAACCCACCUAGGUUUUAUUUAUAGAGAAAUUAUUUACAAUAUCAAAUGUGAAAGCAAAGUUGAUUGUUCUACUCGAGGUGAGGAAGUGAGGUAACCACAUGACAGUAUUUUCCCCUCGCAAGUGAAGUUGGCCUGGAGACCGAAAUGUGAACCAAAAAUGUGAAAUGAGGUUCCUUUGUAUGAUGAUCCAAUAUUCUUGCAUGUAGAACUUGCUCUCGGCUGUUGGUGCCCUUCUUUGCCUUAGAGACUGGGCCGCUCCUUUUAUUCUAAGGCGCUCAUCCAAAAAAAUUAGUUAAAAAUAUUUUUUAACUUAUAUAAAUACUCAAAAUCUUUAUAUAUUUGCUCGAGUCUUCACAUAUUCCUCUUGUUUAACCUAUGAUGUCCUCGUCAGCCUAGGAAUCGAAAUCCAUUCAAAUCUAAUAAAAAAUACCACGAUCGGCCUAUGAUCAACCUCAACGAGCCAUGUUGUAGUGUCUUCAAGUCCGCAUAGAUUAUAGGUCAAAUCAACUCUAAUUGUCACGAUCCAAAAUAUGGAAUAUAACACGACCAUGCUACCGAGGGUACAACUCACGAUCAUAUGAAACCAACAAUCGUAAUUAGCCCAAAAGUCCAUCAUGGCUAAAAUAUAAUAAGAGGAUCCAAUUCUAUUUUCAAUUCAGUAAUAAACUUAGUACUACUGGUUCAAAAUGUUUAAAUCCAAAUAUAAAUACCAAAAGCUAAUAAUCUCAAAAUUCAGAAAGUCAUCAAUUACAAAUUCAAAGUUAAUUAAAGAACUAAAAUUCUGUUACAAAUUGCUAAGCUUGCUAGUGCGAAUUUCAAACACAGACCAUCCUUCAUUUCUAGUGAUCCUAUUCGUCUGGAAAGAGAAAAAAAGUAAAUAGGUAUGUACAUAGCUCAAUAAGAAAAGCUUACACUACCAAUCGAAUAAAACAUAAGUUUUCAUGGGNNNNNNNNNNNNNNNNNNNNNNNNNNNNNNNNNNNNNNNNNNNNNNNNNNNNNNNNNNNNNNNNNNNNNNNNNNNNNNNNNNNNNNNNNNNNNNNNNNNNNNNNNNNNNNNNNNNNNNNNNNNNNNNNNNNNNNNNNNNNNNNNNNNNNNNNNNNNNNNNNNNNNNNNNNNNNNNNNNNNNNNNNNNNNNNNNNNNNNNNNNNNNNNNNNNNNNNNNNNNNNNNNNNNNNNNNNNNNNNNNNNNNNNNNNNNNNNNNNNNNNNNNNNNNNNNNNNNNNNNNNNNNNNNNNNNNNNNNNNNNNNNNNNNNNNNNNNNNNNNNNNNNNNNNNNNNNNNNNNNNNNNNNNNNNNNNNNNNNNNNNNNNNNNNNNNNNNNNNNNNNNNNNNNNNNNNNNNNNNNNNNNNNNNNNNNNNNNNNNNNNNNNNNNNNNNNNNNNNNNNNNNNNNNNNNNNNNNNNNNNNNNNNNNNNNNNNNNNNNNNNNNNNNNNNNNNNNNNNNNNNNNNNNNNNNNNNNNNNNNNNNNNNNNNNNNNNNNNNNNNNNNNNNNNNNNNNNNNNNNNNNNNNNNNNNNNNNNNNNNNNNNNNNNNNNNNNNNNNNNNNNNNNNNNNNNNNNNNNNNNNNNNNNNNNNNNNNNNNNNNNNNNNNNNNNNNNNNNNNNNNNNNNNNNNNNNNNNNNNNNNNNNNNNNNNNNNNNNNNNNNNNNNNNNNNNNNNNNNNNNNNNNNNNNNNNNNNNNNNNNNNNNNNNNNNNNNNNNNNNNNNNNNNNNNNNNNNNNNNNNNNNNNNNNNNNNNNNNNNNNNNNNNNNNNNNNNNNNNNNNNNNNNNNNNNNNNNNNNNNNNNNNNNNNNNNNNNNNNNNNNNNNNNNNNNNNNNNNNNNNNNNNNNNNNNNNNNNNNNNNNNNNNNNNNNNNNNNNNNNNNNNNNNNNNNNNNNNNNNNNNNNNNNNNNNNNNNNNNNNNNNNNNNNNNNNNNNNNNNNNNNNNNNNNNNNNNNNNNNNNNNNNNNNNNNNNNNNNNNNNNNNNNNNNNNNNNNNNNNNNNNNNNNNNNNNNNNNNNNNNNNNNNNNNNNNNNNNNNNNNNNNNNNNNNNNNNNNNNNNNNNNNNNNNNAAUAUAUAUAGUAGGGGGAAAAAAAAGCUGCGAUCUUAUUCUCACACUACACCAAACCACAAGGUGUAGAAGAGGAUGGACAAAGAACUUUGUAAUCAAUGCUUUUCUCCUUGUAAAACAAGGAACUGGAACUUACACACACGGUCAUUCCUUUUCAGCUUUUUUUUCAAUUGGAUAAAACCAAAGUUUGUAUCGGGCCGAGAAGUUUAUUCACUGGCGGAGGAGGAGAGUGCUCAGCAUUGCAUGCUCCACGUACAUCCAUCCUUUCAGGCUUUUUCUCUGACAGCGCGCACAGAGAGAGAGAGAGAGGUCAUUCACGCGAGAAGGUGGCAGUAAGUACCCAAGUAACCGACCAGCAAACCCAGCAGCCUCUCGGCAAGAUAACCGGGUCAAAGAAACAACAAUGGCGUUGUGGCCAUAACAGUGAAUACGGCUUGCCUGCGUUCUGUCCCUCCCCAAAACUUUGAGGUAUGCCGGUACAAAUGCCUUUUCUUCCAACUUCCAUCCUCUUUCCAUUCUUUGUAAACGCAUGUAAUAUAUUAGGCGAGUCUUCUCUCUCAUUCACUCAUCACAAUGCCGCCAGCUUUUCGUUCUUUAUACAAUACACCCACCAAGGAAGUGAAGAAAGAGAGAGAGAGGGAUGGGGAAGGGAGACAAAAUGGACCAAAAGGCAGAGUUAAUGGGAGGGUGGAGCCCUUUGGCCUUUGAGUGGUCACUGUUGGUCUGUUCCCUUGCUCAUCAGAAAAGAUAGCAGGAGGAGAGCAGGAGGGGGCCGGUGUCAGGUGCUGGGCUAGGAACUGCUGUUCUCCUCGCCGGUUGGCCGUGCCUCGACCUACUCUAGUAUUUCUAAGUACUUACUUUUUAAUUCUUGUUAACUUUGCAUUACGUUUGGUACUACGUGGGACAUGAUCAGUGGACAGGUAAUGAUCCGAUGCAAAACAUGAGCUUUUAAGACUUGCUUUAAAAUAAUAUAUAGUGUGCAGGAGAGAGAAUCUUUGUGGCUUCUGACAGUUGAUAUGAUGUGGAGUCCAGAGCUUUGCAUUGCAUUGAAUGGAGAGUUGUUUGGGUUGAGAUAAAAAGACUUCUGCUGCGAAGAGAAGGCAAAACGAGAGGAGAUAAAAAAGGGAAGGGAGAUAGAAAGAGGAAAGAGAGCUGAGCUGGUAAAAAGGAGGUGUGAUGAUUUGGGAGGGGGUUGGAACUUCAAGGUUCAAAGUAUAAAACGAGAAAGAGGAGCUCUGGUGGCAAUAAAGGAAGGAGGGAGGGAAGGAAGGAAAAGGGCUUUAAAGGAGGAGGAGCAUUGGGAGACAAAACGGCAACUCUGGAAUCAAAUGAAAUGUCCUUGUCAUGGAUAUUAAACGUAGAGCAUGAUGAUUCCCGGCACAGGCACCCAGAAAAAUUGAAUAAUAUUCUUGUCCUGCAUUCCAAUGGACUCGUGGUUAUGACGUGACGCAUGUGGUUUGGCUUUAUGCGGUGUUCCAAUAUUAUUAUUAUUUUUUUUGAUAAAAGGUAGUUGUUCCGACAAAUUUGCUGACUCUAACAAUAUUGUACCAAAAUAUUGUUUUCUAUCAUUUCCAAUAAAUUUUCCUCAAAAAUAUUGAAUUUAACUUAAAUAAAACUGAUAAUUUUGUCCCAUUUUAUUACAUUGGCUGAUUAAGAUCUCGUAAUGUAGCUUCAUUCUUCAAGGUUUUCUCACCUUUUAUUGGACAAAGUGAAUGAGUGUAAUUGCACAAAGUGAGAGCCAAUGGGCUCCAACAAGAGCACUGCUUCCAUGCGAUUGCAAGCAUGGAAGAAAAAGAAGAUUGCUUAUGCUUCUAUUGGAGACAAUGAGCUGCAUUAUUCUUUUAGACUUAAUUUAACGUAACACAGGAAAUAGACAAAAUAUAUGACAAGUUUCGGUGAAGAAAAACCUCAACCACACAAGCACUUGACUGUAAUCAGCACUUAAUUUCGUCAAGGCUUGCACCCCCUUACAAUCUUCCAUGGAUUUAAAUUUGGAUGAUAGAAUUCUACUGUUUCAAAGUAAAGCUGCAAAGAAAAGAGAACGCUAGAAUAUUUUAAAGUUCAUCUGGAAGGACUCUAACAGAGUGAACGCAAUAAUUUACACAAUGAUGCCAAAGGUUCAAUGUGCACCAAUGGAACAGUUUCCACUGCUUCAGACGUGAUGGAUCCUCUCAAGGUUGCAAUUCGCUUUUGUCGGGUUCACCACAUGGAUCUGUGGCUUGGUUGAGAUUGAAACGAAAAAGGCUGGAUGACAACAUUUUUUUAUUACUGUAAUGCUUCUAUUGGCGAUGAUCAAAUUAAUAGUUAUUGGAAGGACUCAUUUAAGCUUUCAGCAAUUGCAUUGCAGGCACAAAAUGUAUACUUUGAUUUAGCGAUUUCGAUGAGGCAGAAGGUAUCAUAAUGAAUAAUAAUAAUGAACAAAAUUCUAGACAAAGAGGACUAUAAGCUCAACAGCAAAUCAUAUAUUGUUGUUGUCAUGAAAUAACUGCAGAAACUGAAGUUACUUGGUGUGGUUGAAUAAUUAAUUAUUUCAUACAGUAGUUUAUUUCCAUUAUAUCCAUUUUAGAGAUGAGUGUGGUUCUUCCACUAAUUCUGUUGCUGUUUAGUGAAGAGAUAAUGUCGAUCAUGACAUAAUACGAACAAGAAGAAAAGGAUCGAUCAACCAUAAAUCAUAAUCUCAAUAAUCAUGCUUGAGAGGCUGUAUUUCAGUGUAAGGCUUGUCUAUUGUAAUGGUUUUAAGUGACCCAACAUAUUGGCAAUCAUCUUUCGAUCGUGAAAUGAUCAUAUCAUCAAGCUAGCUUACCCAUGGAAGAAUGUCUGAGGUUCAGAACUUUUUGGGCAGGCAGAAGAAUAGUCGUACUAUAAUGAACUACAUUGAGAAUGAUAGUUCCAAAUGGAUGAUGAUUCCACUGCAUUACAAAAAACAUCUGCAGUUGCAUCAGCCAGUAUAAUGGUGUCCUACAAUUCAUAACUGGUUGCAUGCUUGAACAUUUCACAAACAUAUACAUACAAAUACAAGAUUCCUAUUUAGACCGAGAUGCACAAGUUAACAGGGGGGUAAUUACCUGGUCAGCAUAUAAGAAUAUAGAUGCUCCAGGAAUCAAAAAAACUUCAGUAAGUUCAGCAUGUCAUCUUCUUCUUUUGCGCAUCAAACCGAUGCGAUAGAAAAUUCUGAUUAUGCUGCACUGAUAGAUCAAACAAGAUAUCUUUAAAAAAGCUUGAGAAGCUCUCGAAAUGAACUCUUCUUACCCAAUAUCAGCAGUAGAACAUAAGCUUCUUGACAUUAUCUCGAAGCUUUGGCAGUGGUGCAGUCUGCAGCGGUGCGGCUCUAGACAGUGUAGUUCGGGUACAUGGCAUGGAGUCUGACCUAUCGAGAUACAAUCUGCCUCUAUAUGCUGCAAGGUGAGCAUAGUAUGCAGGAGGCACAAGAGAAACUGGCUUGGUGCAUCUCACAAAUGUGUAGCAGAGACUGUGAAUCAACUUCUGCACUUCGUCGGAUUUGAAAUUGUUCUCAUCCCACAGGAUAUGAUAAUGAGUUGGCCUGCUCGUUCCUUUCAUCCCCCAAUGGCUGCACAGAUAAAAAUCAAAUUCCCUUGGAUGGGUUAUCACGGUAUCAACGACAGUUCCAGGUGGUAUGUUUUCAUCAACAAACUGGCAAGAGGAGGCAUUCUUCUCAUUUAUGAAGAGCCUUGUAUGGUGCCUCUUCUGGACUACUGCGAAGGUGAUGGUGGGCUUGUAAUUGGGGAACUUGGAACAUGCUGCUCUUAUGGCCUGCAACUCUUCCUUCAGCACCUUGUAAAACUGAGUCUCGCUCACGCCAUCUCUGAAGAAAAUAACUCUGCAAGGGAGUUUGCCAACCGUAAGGAAGAACUCCUCAAGUAGCUCGCCUACCAUCUCUUCCAGGUCUUUGAUGAUCUCUUGUCGGUGCGUCUGAGACCUCAUCCUAGAAAUGUACUUGUUUGCUGCAGGCCAAUUCAUGCUGCCAACAACGGCAGCAACAGAUGGGCUGAAGUCAUCGAGCGGGUGCGGGUGCGUGACAUCGGCACCCAUAAAGAUCACCGGCUCAUCGUCUCUGAAUAUCCUGGGAAUUUGGCAGGGUAUAGUGUUAUACAGUACCACGUUGCAGCCCCCAAGCUUUGCAUUGAUUUUAAGAGAUAAAUUGGCCAGGAAUUGUGAGCUGAGCUUGCUGAGAUUGGAAUAUAAACAGCACUGACUCAUCACCCCUAUACCGGUCUCGGCAAUUCUCUUCAAAUCGGCAUAGCCCCUGUGCUUUUUCUCCAUUACGCACAUGAGCAGUUGGAGGUUCCCUGAUGCAGCUUCAUGGAUUCUCUUGAGCUUGGCUUCCAAAGUUGACACAUUAUUCAGCACAUACAUGUGCUCAUAUAGUGGGCUUAGGAUUGUGUUCCUGUUCAAAAAAAUGCCAAGCUGCUGGCACCUAUUAGAGAGCUGGUUUAUGAACCUAGGAAUGAAGGACCGCUGCUCCGGGGUGCCACCGAAGCUUAUCAGAGCCCACCUUCUAAUUUGGGAACCUUCAGCAACAUGGCUGUUCAUCAAGUUCCACUGCCGAUCAUGUCUGUUUGGAGUUAUAUCUCUAACAUGCCCACCAUCACCAAGUUUUAGUUUGGGAGGCUGAAGGACUCUUCCAAAAAGCUGGGUCAUCUCUUUUGAAACUUUGAUCUUGAACUCAUCAGCAUAGCAUCCACUGCAAUGAAACAGUGCAAGUUACAAGUGUUACGAGACGAAGAAAGUAGUAUGCAUGAAAGAAGAAACGCUAAAUUAAUAUGAUUUGGAGUGGAAUUAUUCUAAAAUAAUUUGAAGCUUCUUUACAGUAUAAUUCAGUUACUUGUAUGUAGCAGCUACCUUGUCGGACCAACCGCACCUCCCAUGACACCAUUGAUGAUGUCCUUCCGCUCUCCAGGCCUCUGGCAGCCCAUCUUAAGUAUUCUUGCAGUCUGCUCAUCGGAAAGCUUUCCAAGAAAUUUCUGGCCUUCACAGACAAUGCAGAGCUCCAUUGGCAGAUAACAUGGCUUGCUUCUACUGAUCUGCAAGCACGGAAGGUUUCUGAAUUGAAUGUCAUGGUUGUAGUGAUCCUUGAAAUAAUCCACCAACAUCAGAUCCUUCCCAUCUCUGUCUCUGAACUUGAGGUUCUCCGUUGCUUCAUCGGUCAGGCUAUAAACCCGGUACCUCUGAUCUGUUUCUCUAUGGCAGACAAAGAUCCUAAUGUUCUUCAAGGCCUUCUCAACUUCUUUCUUCUCUUCUCCCACCAAUCCCCUGGUUUUCCUCUGCGAAAGAUCUCGUAAGAAUUCACAGCGUUUCUGUAGGUAAGGAAUGAUGCCUAUGCUUUCAUGAAAAGCUGUCACUGAGAAAUCAACAUUGAGAGAUAGGCCUUGUUGGGUUGGUCUAAGGCUCUGGAAGAACCCUCUCAAUCCCACAGCUCCUCCACCAAUGUCUUUGACUCCUCCCAUGGACUUGGUAUACAAAGACCGGCCCAUAGGAAUGCAGUUCUCCGUUGGGCUCUCGCGCAAGGCAACAUCCAAUGCAUGAAGAUAAUCCUGAGGAAGAGGGACACCAUCACCCUCUUCUUUUAAAUAUCUGUUCAAAUCCUGGCCACUUAAUUUGGAAGCUAGCCUAAUGUUUACCCUGAAGAGCUUAGACUUCUGUUUCUCCACCAAAUUACCACCAUUUUCCGAAUGCAAGGAUUUCGACGAGGGAAUUGGCAGAGUUAUGAAGAACUCAAGCCUAUCACCUCGGAACUCAAUGGGGCUGUAUAAAUUGUUCCGACCAUCGAAGACCGGCAGCGCACCAGAAAGCAUAUCGGAGUGAUCCUGCACCAGCUUCCUCUUGAUCAUCCGGGCAAUUUCCUUGGAUGGACAUGGAGAUAUAUCAACAUUGUAAUGGAAAAUUUUUUGUGAGGGAUCAAAUUGGACAGGAAAAUGGUUGGCAAUAAGGGGAAUAAAGGAGCCCUCGUCGCCGCCAGAAUCCGGCCUUCGGGCCGCCACCGAAGCUUGAGGACUGCCCACAUGUUCUGUGUGGCAACUUAAAGGUUUUCCAUCCGCUGCGGCGCCUUUCUUUCCUGAUAAGGGAUUAGUUUUCUGUUGGAUUACCUCCAUAGCUGCUUAAAAGUUGAACAUUUUGACAGUGUAAGUGAUUAGCAGAAGUUGUAGGAAAAACCUAAGCUACCACCAAGCAAGGAGCCAUUCCAAGGUUGCAAAGAAAAGUACCAUAAAUACUUUGUAGGAUCCUUCCCAUUCACCACCACAAUAAAAAUGUGCAAGGAGGCUCAGUUCAUCUAGAGCAGAGCUAGAAUAUCUUAUAUCACUUAUAUUAGGAUUUAAAGGACCCAAAACAUAAAAAGAACCAACAUCUACAAAUGCAUCUGGGAUAUCCUCAAAAGUAUCAAGAUUUAAGCUUUUUGUUUGCCUUUCAUCCUUCAUCGAUUGCUACCUAAUAAACAACUCAAUAGACAGCCUACAAGCUACAAAGAAUGGAACAAUGCAACACCAAAGCAAUGGAAACAAAAAGGUCUCACCUUUGAUACGAACGUCAAAAAAAAAGAAAAUAAAUGUGUAGAAUGAGUAAAGACCAUUGCAUACCCUGAGGAAUAGGCAGGACUGCGACCUGGGUUUCCAACGAGGCGGCAUGAAGUGGCUUCUUUUUCCACAGAGACUUCUGGCCGUGAGGUUUUGAUUUAGGCGUGUUGCUCUGGAGGAGAGGUGGUGUUGGAGGGAGCUGAAGUAGUAUUGGGGGAGGUAGAGGGAGAGGGAGCGGAAGAAGAGCUGGGUAGGCCUGGUAUCUCCUCUGAUAAUAGUACACAUCAUGGAGUGGGUGCUGACUAGAGUUGGAUAACUCCCUCAGGGUGGUGGGAUGAGACCUCCUCUCCAUUGGUGUCCACUUCCUGCUGGGAUUCUUCCUUCCAUCCUUAGCCUCCUCUUCCAUGGAUUCCUCUCUCUCUCUCUCUCUCUCUCUCUCUCUCUGAGCCUGCUCCUGUGCUAGAAUAUCUAUGAGUUCAUGUCUCUCCCCAGUUUACUUAUGAAGGAGAGCAUGAGGGAAAAAGGUAGAGGGGAUGGGACNNNNNNNNNNNNNNNNNNNNNNNNNNNNNNNNNNNNNNNNNNNNNNNNNNNNNNNNNNNNNNNNNNNNNNNNNNNNNNNNNNNNNNNNNNNNNNNNNNNNNNNNNNNNNNNNNGAGGGAGAGAGAGAGAGAGAGAGAGAGAGAGGAUCCUUGGGUCCAAAAGCUUUGUCUUUCUGCUGUGCUGCUGUCCUGUGUUCUGAAGUUCUAAAUUCUUAAAGUGGGGAUGGUUUAUGACAGCAGUAAAUACCAGGGCAAGAGAGGAGGCUGUGUUGGGAUUUCCAUUAAAGGUUUCCAAGCACUGCAUUGAUCAAAGGGCAGCCCUUUAUUCUAUUUGAAGGGCAUGCAUUUAACACACACAAAUAGCAGUGGCCCCUCUCAUGAUAAAAAGGUAUCUUGGCACAAUCUGGAUGUUUGAAGUCAAAGAAGAGAGAGGAACAGGAGGCUGUGGGGUUGAGGGCGCAUAGUCAGAUGACACCAUGAAGUUUCCUUUUCUCCUAUUCUUCUCCAACCUGCUUCCAAAAGUUAGUUGUGCACCAACCUUCUUCAGGCAUUCUUCACUGAGCUAAAAGUAAAUGCAGCCAUAUGUUAGAAAUGGUUUAAUCUGAAAGCUUGUCUGUGAGAUGUGGAACAUAAUCAUAGCUAUGAAUCCUAACCAGAGUUUGGUAUAUCUACACUUUGGUCUUUGCUUUUUGGUGACCAAAGUUAUUUGCCAUCCAAUGAGUGUUAUACUAUCCUUCUACACCACUUUAGUUUGUUAUUGUUAGCCCUUUUCUCUUUCCUCGGCCUUUGAUCACAAAGUCACUCUAAAACCAUGGGCCUAGGUAUAGACUUACCUCCCCUCAAGAAUAAAUUAUACCCCGCACUCCAUGCGCCACCAAUCACAGCCGUUUAUUUUCGUGGGCUCCAUUCAUCAAAUGCUUAUUUUGGUGCGCUGCUACAGAAAUAAGUGGCUAUGAUAAUCGGUGAUUCAUCGAGCUAUCCUCACAAGUUUAUCCUACCUUUAAAAUUAUUCUUAAUCAUUGCAACUUUUGUACUUUCAUCAUCUGAAAGAAUAAUCAGCAAAUGUACCACCAUCAUUUUUCACAUUUAUCAUCAAUUAUUUUCAAUUUUAUCAUGUUUUUAAAUUUGUUAUGGUUAUAAUAUAUAAUAGAUAUAAAGAGAGGGAUUUAGGCCCACUUAAAAUCUAAAUCAUUGCGAAUACGAUACGGAGNNNNNNNNNNNNNNNNNUAUGGAAGAUUAUAGGUCUUGGAAACUUCUUGGUUAUUUAAUAGGUCUUUUGAAACAUUUAGUUCUGAAAAAAAUGAUAUACAAAUGAUUUUAAGAUUACAUGAUGUAUAGGCUAAGAGUCUUGAAAGCAAUACAGACAUUUUCAGUUUUUCAUAUUACAUCCAAUAGUUCAAUUUUUUGAUUUACAAUUUAAGUCAUAGAAUUUUGUAGUUGGUUUUCACACUUUGUAUGUAUCAUAGCUGUGCACCUUUAAGUUAAUAUCCUCAUCUCUAAUGUACUCAUUCGACUCUCUUUGGCUGUUAAAAAAGAGAGGACAAAGAAAAAUAUUUUAAACUUUUGAUAAUAAAAAAGGAAUUCAAAUAAAAGAAAAGCAAAUAGAUUUAAGAAUUUGUUUAAAAGAUUCUUCUCCAAAAAUAGUGAUUUUAGGCACGUCGGUGAAAACAAUUCAAAUGUAUCAUAAUAAAUUUUCUGAUAGCAGUUUCUAAAAUUUAGUUACUUUUUUGCUCAUCAUUUAUUUUUCUUCUCUUUCACUUUCAUUAGCAUGUAUAUAGUUAUUUUAUAAAAUUAUAUUUUUUCUUUUAAACGUAAAAUUUUUAUUCAUGUCUUCAAGAGAUGCAAAAGUUACACAAUACUUUUUCUUUCUUCAGCUGAACAACACUUACGCGGCAUCUUCUGUUCUAUUUCGAUGAUAAUUGCAUGAUACCUCAAAAAUCAUCGAUCUGUUCUAGAAAAGAAAUCAAAAAUCAUUGUCAUUCCAACGCACUUAAUUCGCUAUGAGAUGUGUAAUUGAAAGAUUAAGCUUAUAAAGUUGCGGAUUGUAUUGCAUUCUAUAUUAUUAGCCACUUGAGAGGUAUAUUUUGGAAGGGCUCUUUCGGAAUUUUUACUUUUUUGUGAUAUUUUUUUUACUGAUUUUGUUGGAUGUAUUCAUUUCGAGCAUAUAUGACUCAUCCAUCUCAUAAAAUAAAAAAAAUAAAGCUCUAAUUUAAGGAUUGUAUUAGUUGGGUAUUGUUAGCAAGAUUGAAAACGAGCUACAACCAAAAACAAUGCAUGCGGAUGUAUGAUCUACAUGCGAUGUGCUUAGUACUUGAUUUUUUUUUGCUGAGAGUUUUGCUUUUAAUAAGUUUCUAGCUAGUUUAUGAGGUGAACAUGAGAACCAGAGCAAUCCAUCUUUUUUACAGUGCAAAUUAGGUUGCAUUCUAUAGCACUUCCCCUUUAUCCUGUAGCAUGGUGGUGGGGACCAAGUAUCGGUCACUCACUUCCCACACCAAAGAGUCCCUUCUAGCUUCUUGGCGUUGGCUUAAACAAGGUGUGCCGCCUUGACCGAAUGUAGAUAGCGCCAGCCAAAGAAAAUUCCGCACUAAUGCUCCUUCCAAUUCCAAGUUAUACUUGGCUAAGAAUGAAGUAUUGCACUCCUCUUCGGAACCUUAAGCUUUGGUGGUUAAUGAAGACAACUCAAAUGAGAAUGCUGAGGUAUCAAAGGUAGCUUUGAUUCGAUGGUGAAAAGGAAAUACAAAUAUUCUAAGGAGGAAAGAUGGUCCCUUCCUCAGCCAAAUCCAAGGGGGUUGAUAUACCCUGCCUUGGCCCAAGUCCCUAAGGACCGAAUUAGGCAAUAUGCCUACCCAAGCCUCUUGGCCGAAUGCACUUUACAAGUGGCUAACUGAUACAAUGUCCAAAAGUCCCUUUCCCCACUCAAUUCAAAUCUAUUUGUAGACCCUUACAUUGGCAUGCAGUGGCUUCUCCUUUUGGCUGGCGGUUUGGAUCCUUUGGCAACUCCUUUGGAACUCCCACUGCAGUGGCUGCUGUCUUAAUCCGGUUGCCAUUUGGUUGCUAACGGUUUGCCCGGUGGUUCAAAGGAUUUCUGGUGGUUGGCUGGCUGUUGCUUGUCUUGGUGGCAGUUGCUUGCAGUUUCUUGCUGUUAUGGCAUUUGAUUGCAGUUGUGGUUGCUGGCGGUUCCUUGCAGUUGGCCAAGCUCUGGCUACUACAGAGGCCUUUGGUUGGUCGGUUUUGGCUGCUGACACUCCUCUGGGUUUGCCUCUGCAGAUGGCUGGUCAUGUGGCUAGGGCCUAGCGUGCUGGCCAAGCCCCUGUUGCGCGCGGUUUGGCGGACUGCGUGUGGGCAUGGGCAAGUCAUGGGCCGCCCUUGAUUUUCCACGCUUGACCCUUUGGUUAGGCCAGAUGGUUCCUGCUGUGGUUUGACCCUUUGGCCGCUUGGGCACUGACAGUCCGGCCGCUGGGCGCCUGGGCAUUGGUCGCCUGGCCGCUCGGUGGUCACCUCUUGCUCGCGCCCGCGCGCACACGGACCUAGCUUCCGCGUGCGCAGGCGGUUGCUUUCCGUUGCACAUGGCGUGUGUGCGCGUUGGUCUUGGGCGCCAAGGGCCCGUGCGCGUAGCUGGUUCACUGCGGUUGCCCCCUGCUCGCGCGUGCGCUGGUCUUUGGCGCGCGCCGGCAGUUGGCUCCCGUUGCUUAUGGCGGUUGCCCCUUGCUCGCGCGUGCGCUGGUCUUUGGCGCGCGCCGGCAGUUGCCUCCCGUUGCUUAUGGCGAUUGCCCCUUGCAUGCGCGUGCGCUGGCCUGAGCCGAGGAUGCCAUGGCUGUGCACACGCCGGUCCUCUUGUCGUUUGCCUGUGGCUGCGCGCGCGCAUUGGCCUGGAUCAAAGGCAUUCAGACCAUGCGGGCGCUGGAUAUUUGGUUUGGCCCUCCCGGUCACUCGGUUUGGCCUGCACAUGGCCCUCCUAACCAAAUGCCUGUUUCGAUUGCUGAGGCGCCCCAGCCGAUGGUCUGCGAUCUUGGGCGUGCCUCUGCCGUGCCUUGUCGAUGCUGCUAUUAGCCCAGCCUUUGCCUGCCAAGGCUGGCGGACCCUCGGUUGUGCCCCUAUAAAUGAGAGAUGGCCACUAGACGGACAUGAGCUUGGCUCUUGUUUUGCCUUGGCCUCCAUGAUUUGGUGAGGAGAUAUAGAAGGAACCUCACCACAUGGUAGGCAAUGAAUGUGAAGUGCUUCUUGGCUUUUUCUUUGCGCUCGAAUAAAAAUAUUAUGAACUUGAGACACGAUCAUACUCUCUUUUGCAGGUUACAAACAGCCUCUUUUGGCAGGUGUUAGGUUUAGAAUCUUUUAAUGAGGGGUUAGCUACAUUUCCAAGUGGAUGACCAUACUCCAACCUGAGCUCGCCAUCUUACCUGUGUAUCGACAAGUAUAUGCAUCUCAUUUUGCUUUACUAACGAGCCUAAGUGAGAGAAAUUUUUAUGAAAGCUGCUUGAAAGGAUAUGGGAAGCACCAAUCUUGUCAUCAUUGCCUCCAAGCCAUUUUUUAUUUACACUUAAUGCAGCUUGGCCCAACUUCCAUCACUUCUUUGCCUCAUUUUAUGCAUACAAGGGUGUCAUGGAUGGGACCGAUGGGUGGAAGCAUCCCAGCUAUAGAGUAGCCUAAUGUUUCAGAUGAUAUGCAGUGAAUUGCAUAUUGCUUACCAUCUGGCCCAUAUGGCUAGGCCUUCUUUGUAGAGAAAUUAUAUCCGGUGCACCAUGUCAGGGAUGCACCAUAGGAACAAUCCGACGCGAGGUGAGAGGGCGAAAUCCAAUACAAGCAGCACAAUGAUGGGGCUUACAGGAACGAAAAAUUUGAUUGGUGUAGUGCACCGCUGACAUGAUGCACCUUGCAUAGGGACUAAUUUCUUCUAUUCGAUUUCAGUUUCUUAUUAUAUAGUGGAAAUGCCUCACAAUAUUCAAUUUUACCUUUACGCUCAAGGAAAGAAAUGUUCUUGGUGGAUGCAGGACCUGGUACCCUCAAAAUUUGUAUGCAAGAUGAGCCUAUAGGAGUGCCAAUCAACCGAGCCACCAGGUUUGAAAAUAAGGUGGGAUCAUAAUUUUAUGGGAUCGUGAGUUGCACCAUGACCUACCAUCCAGAUUAAUUUCGAGUAAAUCUUUCAAUAUCUAGUCCUCGAUCUCAUAGUGGUCGAGUUUUGCCCUUCAGGGAGUUUUCCAUAACUCUCCUGCUCUGCCUGCCCCCAUCCACCAAGUCAUCUAGGUCAGCUGCAAUGCAAUAGUUGUCCAUAUUCAUGCAUGGAUUAGUUGGCUUUGUAGAAUUUUGUUUUGCUCCCCAUGGUUGGUAGCACCUGUAUGACCUUGGUAUUUUCAUUGUUCUUUUCGUUUUGCUUAAUACUAUAUAUAUCUAGGUUGUGUUUCUAUCUUACUUAUACUAUAUCAAUAAUACAAUGAGCUUAGUCGCUUUCGCACCAAAAAACAAAAACAAAAAGAAAAGAAAAGAAAACCUCAUAGGGGUUUAGUAAACCCAUAGGUCUACCUCUGUUGAGUUUAUUGGGUUUGGCCAAGUUAGAGAUUUCAGAAUAGCUGGUGCCAUUGAGCCAUUCAGCCAUUGAGGGACCUACAUGAUCUUUGUGCUGGUGCCAAACCAACUCAUGACUGGAGCUUGAUAGGUGUGAGAAAGGGUCUUUAGCACCAAAGGCACUCCGGAGGACCAAGGUACAAAACCAGGGGACAACAAGUUAAACUGCACAAACGAUGAAUGGCGAGGAGAAAAUUGGUUCUCCUCGUCAUCAUUUUUCCUUGAAAAGAAAAGGAGAAACAUGGAGCUCAAGAUUCAUGCAUGUUUUUGUCCAGUGAGGACUGCUUUAGUUUUUCCAUGGAAAGCUCAUGUAUGUGGUGUGCAUGAAUGUUGAUCUUUUCUUGACUGUUUGAAAAAAAUGAUCCUUUUACUGAAUUUUAUAAAUCAAUUCUGAUGAAGCAGCAUCAUUUUGAGAAAUGACUAGGAAUUUUUGAUUGGGUUUCUUUUACACGCACUACAAAAAAAAUCAGACAUUGCCGAUGCUUUUUAAUAUAUAUACCAACGUUUAUAAGCAUCAUCUUAAUCUCUUGACUUCCGACGACGUUUAUAAGCAUCGUCUUAGUUUAAUUUCUGACGAUGCUACUAAAAAGCGUCGGUAAAUUUUAGCGCGGUGACUAAAUUGCCAAUACUUUUUUCUAGCAUCGGCAGAUCACAGUCGGAGAAAGCUAUUUUUUCUAUAGUAACAUAUCAAUCUUCGGUUUUAUGAAUGAAAAAUCUUUUAAAUAUCUGAGUUGUCACUUGCUGACAUAAUUCCCUAUAGUGGAUGUAGUUUACAAGGUAAGGAGUUCCAUAAAAAAACGGGGAGUGGUUACAAAUAGGUGACCCAGAUCAAUAAGACAAAACCGAGAGAUGCUAUUUUGUGCUCUUCACCUUUGUAAGGCCACUCGAAUCCCAAUUUUUUCUCCUCCUAUCCCUAUCGUUUGCUCUUAUUUUAUGCAAAAUCAUCAUAGGGAUUGUGUUUCAAUGUGCUCUUUGACUUGGACUUUAUGUUUUAAAAGUGAAAGUGGUUAUAUAAAACAUUAUUGUUUUCCCCUCUAUAUUUCCAACUUUUUCUAAGGGAAUCUUGAACUGUUGCUCCUUUAAUAGAUUAUUAGCUUAAAACACUUGAGUUAUAAGGUAGUCUUCAACUUUGAUGAUAAGAACAAUCUCAUAUGGACUGAAACUUGUAGCUGACUACGCUCAUUAGAAGAAGUCUACAUGCAGGAUUAAAGAUCAUAGCCAUAGCUUAAGGGCAACGCACUCUGAUAACAUUAAGUAAUAACAACUAGGGAAUUACUUUAUCGGCGCAUAUUAUCCUAAUGCCAGUCUUGAAAUUAUAACUCUUAUGACCACAAUUGAACUUGUAACAUUUUUAUGACGCAGAGGGUAGAUAAUGCAUCAACCACAGGAUAUAGUUUCUGAUUGCAGAGAAACAAAUUCUAGGAUGACAAUUUGCUGAAUGGAACCAAAGCUAGCCAUACCAAUGUUCAUGCCAUAUUCAUAGGACUAACAAUUAAGUAGACACCUUUCCCCCUCAAAAAAAAGAAGUAAGUAGACACAACUCAUGAACAAUAUACAUGCCCUAAACGCAGAGCAGACAAGGAUAAGUGGACAAGUAAUCAAACCUACAAGUUCAGUGCAAUUCUAGAGUUAGGAAUUGAUGGGCUUGCCUUUCCUUUUCUCUCAGAAGAAUAAAAUAAAUGCAAUUCUAAAGUGAUCAUCCAUGAUCCAGAUGGCUAAAAGGUUAUAUGUAGCAAACAACAAUUUUUCUUAACUGCAAAUGAUGUAUCUAGCAAGUAUUAACAACUAGGAAGAGGAAAUAAAUGAAUGUAUUGAAUGCUAAUUCAAAACAAAUGUAUGACUUCCAAACCAAUUCACAUCAAAAGAAAAAAAAAGACUUCCAAACCUAAUUCACAGUUGCUAGCUAUUUUCCUUUACCAUAUGUCAAAUACAAAAAAUGUUGUUCUAAGUCAACUAGCAGUAGCUUAGCUCAUUGGCAUCCCUCUCCAAAAAUAAAAUAAAAUAAAAAUAAAAAUAACAAUAAAUAUAAAAAUUCAAUUCUUUAUAUAGGCUUCAUAUUGAAAUAAUCUUGCUUUCUCUUGGCAAACACCGCAUAUAGAAUUAUACGCCUUCAGAAGCAUAUGCUUUGGUGAAGUACUAAUAUUAGAAGAUUUAAUCCCAAAUCCAUCAGCAAAUAUGAACAACAUAAAAAAAUAUUAUAUCUUCUUGAAUGACUUGCUCCAAAAAGCUUCGACAUGAUAGUGUAAGUUUAGCAUCCUUAACCCCCUUCUUUUUUAUAUAAUCAAAGAAUAUUGAUGGCUAGAUAAUUGGCAUUCUUGAAGCCUAAUAAAUUGAGCCAUACUCGAAGAGAUUUGCAAAACUAGUAUAGAUAAACUUUUUUUUAGUUGGAUCGGUUUGUUUACAAAAUUCUUGAAUAAAUACAUCCACUUGCAUCAGCGACAAAAAAGUUACAAAAAUUUUCCGAUAGGGCAAAAGCAGUUUCCCAGGUCUCUAAGCCAGUAUGAUCGAUUUGUCAUGUAGAAAGCUAUCCAGUCUGCAGCUCUAUAGCCUUCCUAAAGACAUGCUUAACAAUAUAUGAAGUCAUACUCGACUUGGGCCUCCAAAUAUCCGUCAUGAGGGGAUGAGUGGACCUUUGAUCCCGAGCUGCUGAGGUGAUACAGUUUAUAACUAUCAUUACUCGAAGUAGAUGAUGAAGAUGCUAAUUGGCUUGGUGUUGUGAAUUCUCCAAGACCUUCCCCUACCUUCUUUGCCUCAUCUCCUUUAUGUUCCUCACAUGCAAUGCCAAGGCUGGUGGAGUCAUCAAGUACUCCUCUUCCUUCUUCCUUACUGCCUCGAAGCCUAAGAUUCAAGCACUCCGAUAUACCACUGAUAGCAUAGAGAGACGCAGAGAUCCUCCUCUCAUAUUUCAUCCUCUUCAUUGGAGAUGCAAACAUCCACUUCUCAUCUCCGGCGCCACUCACCUGUUCGAUUGGCUCCAUGAUCUCCUCCACAACCUCAAAUGGCGAGUAGAGGCAAGAAGACCCCUCCAAGGAAUCCACGAAUCGGAAAUCCAUAGCUUCCAAAUCUCCCAUUCCUCCCUCCUCUCCUACUCCACCCUCCUCACCUACUACCUUGGUACCAACUUGACCCACCAUCACUAUAUUCUGGUCCAAUUCCCUCCCCCCUUGCUCUUCCUCCCUGGUGCAAUUAGAUUGCACACUCUUGCAUACAUCAUCAUGAAACCUGGUAUCAUUUGUAAGAAUAGAAUCUGAUACGUUUGGAUCAUCCAAGAAGUCGGCGAAUUGGAAGUCAUCGAUAUCAUCUAGUCCUUCAUCGCCACACUGCUCCUGCUGCUGUGGUAGCUGCUGGUUUUCAGGCAAUGGAACAGUAGCACCGUCAGCAGCAAGAGAGUUACUGGCUUUGAGCCUCGCGAGGAGGAGGCCGUAAACCUUGGAUGGCAGGGCCGGCGGCAAGCGGUGCGACACCGGAGAGCAUGGCCAGAAGUUGGUACGAGUGCUGGCCCCCCGAAGCAGGCAGGCAGCCUCAUCGUAGGCCCGAGCGGCAUCCUCGGCCGUAUCGAACGUACCAAGCCACACCCUUAUCUUCUGGACUGUGUCCUUGAUCUCUGCCACCCACCGUCCUGAAGGCCGCUGUCGUACCCCAACAAAGCGCUUCUGGGGACGGCGAGCACCCCCAGAGGCAGCCGCUUCCAUCGCAGCCUCAUCCCAGCUGCUGGUCUUGGCCUCUACCGCUACAAGGCCUCUUCUCUUCCUCACCAUCUUCUACUCUCAUCUACCUGCUUGAAUUCCUUCACUUGCAUCACCAAGAACCUAUUGGGGGAUGAUGCUAUGCUCAGGUCAUUGCACCACAAAGUGCAUUUGUAGUCGUAUAUAUGAACGGUUGACGGUGAUAUAUGGACAAAUGAAAGAAAUGGAGCAACGAAGACUUUGCUGCUUGGUCCCAUCUCUGUUGUUUCCUUGGGUUUUUGGCUGAAAGAGAGGGGGAGGGAGGGAGAGAGAGAGUCUUGUUGCGUGGUGCCUCUUUAUUUAUUUGGUUUUGAAUGGGCGGGUUUGCCCCGGUCUUCAUGUCGACAAGUUGUUCCGUCUUAUCGGCCUCAUGAUCUAUAUUAGUGCUUAGCCUGCUUUUGUCCAAGGCAAUGUAGUUGUCUCGCAUGCAUAUCAUUUGUGGUGAAUAAAUUUUUGGGUUUGUUUGGUUUGCGGAAAUUAUUUUUUCUUUUAGAAAUAUGAUUUCUGCAAAGUAGAUUUUUAGAAAGAGAAUAAUUGAGAAAGUACUUUUGGCAUGUUUGAUUGAUAAUGGAAAACUGACAGAUUUUCAGAAUAAAUUUAUUAAAAUGAUAGUAAAAAAAUAUUUCCCAAAUUGUUCUAGAUUUUCCUUAGGGUGAGUCUACUCUAAAUUAAUCUAAUGUAAUUGAAUGAAACAAGAAUCAAUUAACAAUUCACAAAGCUUGGAAUUUAUUCAUGACUUAUUCACAACUAAAAGAAUCAUUUAGGAGUUACCAAUCAAAUACUAAGAUUGCUAUAAUAAUGGUGUUUUCGCUAUUACUUGUAAUUGAUUCCUUCCAUGCUUUGAAAAUUUUACAAAAUCAAGGAAAAGUUUUAAUAACCCGCAUUCGUUUAGAAUUUUUUAGCAAAUUCUCUAUAUAUUUUUUUCCUUCCAAAUUCCCAUCUUUGCCUUUUGUUGAAAUGCUCAGAAAAAGCCAAACUUGCGACCAUGUUAGUGGUGGAAAUAAAGUAUUAUUACAAAUCUUCUGCACAAUUUUCUUCAAAAAAAAAAAAAAAACAUGAAUCACACCUUUUUUAUUGGCAUCAAACUGUGUCAGUAAAAUAUUAAAUAUCAAAAAUUCACAAAAAUAAAUAAUAACAUAAAUCAGAGAAAUUUGUUUUUGCACUUGUACUAGAUAGAAAUGAGUUGUGGAUGGGUAGAGCUAGUUAUAUUAGACAGGAAUAAUUCUGUGUUUCUCUUGCAGAUGACUAUCGUUUUGAGGUCGGGAGAGAAAAACUCGGCCAAGGCGGCGGCGAUCAGAUGGAUUUACAUUGAGUUAUCAGUUUGCUAUUGUCAUUGUUGAAGAGUGAUAGAAACAAUGGUUUCUUCAGAGUCUCACCAUGUUCCUUGGAUAAUCCACUAGAGCUAAAAGAUAACAACAUGGUGACUAAACACAAUCUAAUAUUCUACACACAUCCUCUUCUAAGACUCGACCACAAAGGCAAGCUGUCUGAUGAUGAAGAGGAACAGCAUUUUCCUGGACUCAUCUGAUCAGUGUUUAUUCCCAGGUGAAAGAGAUUGGAGAAACAAGAUUGCAUGCAGCUGCAGCAAUUGGGAAACAGCAUAAAUUAACAUACAGAUACAAAAUUACAGAUUAUGUCAUUGUUUGAGAACUCUGAUGCAUGAGAUGGACCCAAACCCAUCAAACAACUAUAUCCUAACCUGGUACUGCUGAUCUAUAUUCUUCAGACAUGAUGAUGCAACCGGAUCCGAAAUUUACCUAGCCAAAGGAAUCUUAAAAAACCAAGCCAUCUUGGUUAGACCCAAAUUUAUGGAACAAUCCAGGCUCAGCCUUAAAUUUAGGCCUAAGUUGAAAUGAACUGACAUUAGGCUUUUUCCCCCUUUUAUUUUCUAUUAUUUCAGUCGCAAAUGUGUGCACAACAAGAGCAGAAGAGCUAGUUAUAAGUACAUGAGGACCAUUCAUCACCCUUGAGCUACACUGCAAGCAAAACCACAUCAAAAAAAGAAAAACCAAGGAAUGCAAGCAGGACCUAAAACCAAGUCAUGCUGGGUUGGUUCGAGCAAGAUCCAGACUAACCUACAUAAUUGCACCCUAGUCGGCACUUUCAGACAAUGGUAAUUAGGAAUUUAUGAUAAUGUUCAUGAAUUGAGGAUCCAUCUUUCCAAACAAAAAAUGGUGAUGAUAUUGAUACGAUAGGGUUUUGUGGGGCACAAUACCUCGGUUAAGCAGUUUAUACUUAAUUUAUACGGAAUAGAAGAGUAGAUUAUAGUUUAUAAGGCACAGAGGAGAAGUAGAAAUGGCUGUGGGAGUAGGGACCAUGUGGUGGUCCAAAAACAAAAAAGAGGCCAGUGGUAAAGCCGACGAGGCUUGCCUUUUUUUGUGUCUGUUUGUGGCUCUUCCCUUCUCGAAAAUGCCAAACCCCUAGGAGAGAUUUAUUAAAGAAAUAGUGCCUAGUUGCUAGUGUUUUGAAAGUGAGAGUGAGAGUGAGAGAGAGAGAGAGAGAGAGAUGCCAAGAGAAGCAACAGUUGGGAAUCAAUAUAAAAGAAAGAUUAUAUUGUUUUGAUCAGACUUCAAUCAAAAGAGAAAUAUUAAAAGGAGAAUAUGGAUCUUUGUAUGUAUGAAGAGAUGGGAGGGAGAUGCAUUGUGACUUGUGAGUGAUGCUAUUAUCAAUGCCUAGCUUAACCAUUGGGACCAAAAGGAGCAAACAAGAAGAGCAUCUUCGCAUAAGACCUCCAUUUGGCACCAUUAAAGUUGUCCAAGUACCUCUGAAAGGCCGUAAAGCUAAGUCUUUUCCCCUUAUACCAACCAAAGCCAAAGAAAAAGUUGAAUGGUUUAUUAUGAAGUUUAAACUCAGAAAAUAGGCAUACUGUAAAAAAAAAAAGUAAGAGCUUUUGGAUUAGGAUAGAAAAGAAACAAUUUGAAACAUAAAUAUUUUAAAAUAAAUAUUAGCUUCUGUGCCUUCUAACACAAUAACAAUCUGCACCGGCCGCAUGACGAUCAAAAGAAAUAGCAGCUCAAAAAUAGAGCUGAAUCUGUAAUACAAAAGUAAUCGAUGAAAAUGAUGUGCAAGAUGAUUGGCAAUUUCAUUAUCCAAGGAACAGGGUCAAAUAUUUCAGCCAUAAAAAACCUGAGAAUAACCAAGGAAUGUUCUGGACACCUGCAAAUUAAAUUAGCCAACAAGCCUGCCUCCACAUGGAGACCUGAGGAUAGUUCAUUUUCAUUAGGACAAAUAGUCAAAUGUAUCAGAAAUAUAAAAAGUUCUCUUUUUUUCAUCCAAAGUCAAAUAGGUUAGGUGGAGGUGGGAAGGAGAGAUGGCAAUCACUGGUUUUAUUCAGUAUGAUAGAAGAAAGACAUAUGGCAAAGUAGGUGUUUGAUUGAUGACAAACUACAUCCUUUUUUUUGACCCCUUCAAGACCAGCAUAUCCACUUCAGCAGGCUUGGAAGUGGAAAAACUGCUGGGAAGUGGAAAGGUUGCUUUAGGUGGUGUCUCCACUUGGCAAGCUCUGAGAACUAUGCCUUCAUUGAAAUGGUUGAAUUCAUGGAUACACUGAACCAUCUGAUCUCCCAUAACCUCACUGAAAUUAGUAUUCACAACUGUGUUGUAGUCUUACAAACCAGCGAGACAUGUUCGACAAAAUCAAAAGGUCUCCUGCCCUCUAGGAGCCACCUAUGUGCAUGCCAAUCUAGGGCAUCUUCGAACUCUUUUGCCCAAAAUAAUACAACACAUGAAUUCAUGGGCGCUAUUAUCGCUGAAAAAAGGGUCUUUAACUCUUCUUUUUGCAUGCCCAUGUCGGAAUGUGGCAAAGACCAAAUAAGUGGACUAGGGCUAGCUGCAUUGUGCUAUGACAUGGAUAAUAACCUUACAUAAGCUGUGCUAAUUCUUCAACAAUAUCUUCUCUUGAAUCUUUUCAUGAUCAUGUAUCACUCCUUAGAAAUAACCUUCUUAUAAUAUAAUGCAUACAACAGUUUACAUAAAAACGUGUGCCUUAUAUAGGUUUAAUCUCCCAUCAAAAUAUUCGUUUGAAAGAUUUUACUCUCUUGUCUGCAUUCAAUGUCUCCAACAUGGUUGACUUCCACUUCACCAUUCCAUAAACCUUCAAUUAAUAUUGUAACAGACUAAACCUUCCAAUGACUUCCCUAUAUCCUGCUGUAAAUAUCACUUCCCAAAUAAUGGUUAAAGGAGCCACUAGAGCACCAAGUAGCCUUCUUAAGAUCCACACAUCUAAAACGAUAAAGUCAUAAGCCCUUGCUGACUCAAAAAUUAUGCCUCUUAUCAGUAUAUUUUCCCACAAAAUCAUGCCUUCUAGAAAGCUUAGCAUACCCAUCAACAUACUGCGCCAAACAUCGAUGAGUCCACUUGAGCCUUGGCCUAUAAAUAUAUUUCUUCCCUCUAUUCUCACAUAACAGUUGGGUGAUUAAAGGCAUUAUGCCUCCAAUAAAUCCUAAUUAUAGAAAAAUACUCCUCCCUCACUAUGGACUCGUUAUUCUUUUGUUCUUAUCAAUAGGUGCUUCAGUCAGCAGGUUAGCACCUCUCUCCUCACUCCUCAGCACUUGCACCAAGGAGAGGUUCUGAUGCAAAUUAGAAAGUGACAGUCCCAGAGUAAUUCUCAACAAAAGAUUAAAAAAAAUAAUCUUGUUUUCGCCUAAUCAUCUGUCCUAUCUCUUGCAUCCAUCUGCAUGAAGAAGUGCAAAAAAAAAUAUAGUCAAGUUUUUAUUUGCAACUUUAUACAUUUUAUUUUUUCCAAGAAUGACUUUUUCACUGCUAGGAUACUUGCCCCUUCCAUGCUGACAGAGUUCUAUAAUAGAGGAUGCAUAAGUUUUGAAGGUCAAUUGCAUAAAUCUGCAAACAACACAUGCUUAAAAGUUUAGACCAAUUUUUGAUUGGGACUGCACAAGUUUUAAAUUCUGUUUGCACAAAAUUUGAGAAAAGUUACAGAAUUUUUUCAACUACUAAACCAAGAGAAUGCGCAGGCAUGCCAGCAUGGAAGGGGCCAAGAGCAUUCUAAUUCCAUUCCUGAAAAAAGGGAAAAAGGGCUUAGCAGGUUACAGAUAGCAAAACUAACUAUAAUUUUUUCUGCGAAAUCCCAAGUGACAUACAAAUUUUUGCUUUUUACCUGUUAAGGUAUUGUUAUCUGAAUUUAAUAACCAUAAGACUAAUCUUUUUAGAAGCUUCCAACGUGGUAGUAUGCAAAUGAUAACAAGACGAGAAAUUAUUAUUAGUUCAGUAGCGAGAUUACAAGCACAAGGACAUGAAAAAGUUUUUUAUAUUACUUCUUGCCAGCCUGGUACUAUGAUUGAAACACGUAUAGCAAUAAAAUAAAGUACUCAUAUAGACAUCAUAGAUUCCAUAUUCAAUAUUGCUACAAGUACUUAUAUAGACAUCAUGAGAUUCUGUAUUCCAUACGGUUACAUGGAAUGACAGCAUCCAACCAAAACUUCUAUCAUUCUGAGAUUGAAUGGAAUUAGAGAAUAUAUACAUCAAAAAAAUUAAAAGAAUGAGCUUAAGCAUAUGUAUGAUUGUACAGUGCCAAAACUAACGCAGCCAUAUCCUUGUAUUUGAACUUGACAGACAUGUUCUUCAGAUUUUAGAAGAAAGAAAAAAAAUGAAUAACAAAAAAACAAGCUUAAGCAUUUAUAUAUGAACCUGUGAUCAUGAAAUACUACAGUUAGCUGAACAUUUUGUUAUUGGACUUGACAGCCUUCUUCUGCAGCUCUCAGAAAGGUGAGCCCACGUGAUAUCCUCUGCAGAUGAUCAAGUAAACAAGAAGAUAAGUCAUCAUACAUUGACAGACAGUGACAUGAGCAGGAAUAUAUCCUUAAACCACACCUCUCGAGUGUCUCUCAAACGCAAUAGUUCCAACCUUGCUGAUGGCCUUAAGUUUAACAAGUUAACAAGCUGCCCAGACAUGAGAGUCAAACAUAUGGCACAAUUAUAUAACAUACACCAAAGCAGGGUUACAAGAAAUACCCAGAAACUAAAUCGCUCUGGAUCCUGUGGUCCAGGCAUGCCUUCAGCUUCAGGAUGCUCCAUUUGCCUUGACCUCCUUCCUGGAUAUAAUUCAUGGUUGUAACUUAUGGUGCAUAGACAAGCUUAUUUUUCAGCACAAUUACAUAGCGGAAUACCAAUAAAGAAGGAACCACAUAAAACUAGCAUGCAAGGUCGGACAUUUAUGAGUCACUGAACCAGACAAAGGUCUUUAAUUGGAAAUGAACUUUAACCCAUGCAACUUUAGACCGCUGCCGUUUGGUUCGUUGUUGAUCCUGUGGUCUAAAUUUUUGCACAUUGUCAGGUAGUUAAUAGAAUGAAUCAAGGCUUUACUUCCAAACAAAUAUGAGAGUGAGUUUGUGUGUGUGUGUGAAUCUGAUCGUUUGUAGCUGAAGCAGAUUCCAGGACUUCACAGCACAACAACAUGUGCAUCUUGUAUCCUAACAAACGCAUACGCGAUUACGCACCAUUUCGUGCAGUAUUUCUUGCAUGCCUGAUCCACAUUCUAGCCUGUGAUGCUGCUCCACUAGCCAUUUGCUGCAACUGUUGAGAAUUCAACACAAAACACUCAUCAAUAUGAUGUAUUUUUCUUAAUUGAAAUAGUUUGGUAUCAGGAAAAUGAUAUAGUCAUAAAAAGCAUGCAAUGUUAUGACAUUUUUUGAGUGAUCCUGGAAGUUCCAUAAACUAGUGAUCAUGUAAAUUGCAACUGUGAGUGACAAUAAUCUAUCACCAAGCUGACAAGCCAACAUCAAGUCAUGGUUAGUAUGUCAUGUCACCUGUAAGAUAAAGUACAAAUCUUUCUUCCAUGCAUAACCAUUAACUGUUUGAAGUUGGAUUUUAUUUAGUUCACAGGUUGAGCUAAAUAGAGAAUGUUUCUUUCCAUUCCUCGUGAGCCACUUAUUUCUCCGAAACAAGAGAUCAAAGUGAUUUUCCUCCUUUUUCCCAAAUAGUCGACGGUCUUACACCAUUGGGAUACUUCGAAUAAACUGGAGUACAUAUAGGAAACACCGGUGCGAAAACCUUUUCUCGAGAUAUCUUCCAAAGUCUUAGGAUCGUUGCUCCCGAUCUUGG
rnacentral:lncRNA from 1 species